CCACUCGGUUCACCGUUCACACCAUCUCAUUUCUCUGAAGAACAGGAGCUUAACAGCAGCAUAUAUGCAGCUGCUUUCCGGCGUCCUCUGAUUUGCCACGAACAACUGCUGCUUUCUUUGUGUGAUGGAUCUGCCCAAGUUUGUGGCGAAUUUGAUAGGUUUCUUCCGCAGAAAGUUGAUAGAAAGAAAAAGAAUUGCCAUGCAAUGCAGAUACCUGUUCAACUGAAUAAUCGCUGA
rnacentral:lncRNA from 1 species